CCAAGGUUUAUCCUUAGUACCUCCCUAGGAACCUGACCAAGGUUUAUCUUUAGUACCUCCCUAGGAACCUGACCAAGGUUUAUCCUUAGUACCUCCCUAGGAACCUGACCAAGGUUUAUCCUUAGUACCUCCCUAGGAACCUGACCAAGGUUUAUCCUUAGUACCUCCCUAGGAACCUGACCAAGGUUUAUCCUUAGUACCUCCCUAGGAACCUGACCAAGGUUUAUCCUUAGUACCUCCCUAGGAACCUGACCAAGGUUUAUCCUUAGUACCUCCCUAGGAACCUGACCAAGGUUUAUCCUUAGUACCUCCCUAGGAACCUGACCAAGGUUUAUCCUUAGUACCUCCCUAGGAACCUGACCAAGGUUUAUCCUUAGUACCUCCCCUAGGAACCUGACCAAGGUUUAUCCUUAGUACCUCCCUAGGAACCUGACCAAGGUUUAUCCUUAGUACCUCCCUAGGAACCUGACCAAGGUUUAUCUUUAGUACCUCCCUAGGAACCUGACCAAGGUUUACAGGGACCUCCGAAUACCAGAUAGAAACAUAUUCCAAUGGAGAUACUGGGAACCCCUGUGAUGACGAUCAGACAUAGGUUUACUGGGGGUAAAGACACAAACGUUCUAACAUGUGAGCUGUA